CAGUCUGUGACUAAGGUCGGUGCUGCUCAACCAGUCUGUGACUAAGGUCGGUGCUGCUCAACCAGUCUGUGACUAAGGACGGUGCUGCUCAACCAGUCUCUGACUAAGGUCGGUGCUACUCAACCAGUCUGUGACUAAGGUCGGUGCUGCUCAACCAGUCUGUGACUAAGGUCGGUGCUGCUCAACCAGUCUGUGACCCCGGUCAGUGCUGCUCAACCAGUCUGUGACUAAGGUCGGUGCUGCUCAACCAGUCUGUGACUAAGGUCGGUGCUGCUCAACCAGUCUGUGACUAAGGUCGGUGCUGCUCAACCAGUCUGUGACUAAGGUUGGUGCUGCUCAACCAGUCUGUGACUAAGUUCGGUGCUGCUCAACCAGUCUGUGACUAAGGUCGGUGCUACUCAACCAGUCUGUGACUAAGGUCGGUGCUGCUCAACCAGUCUGUGACUAAGGUCGGUGCUGCUCAACCAGUCUGUGACCCCGGUCGGUGCUGCUCAACCAGUCUGUGACUAAGGUCGGUGCUGCUCAACCAGUCUGUGACUAAGGUCGGUGCUGCUCAACCAGUCUGUGACUAAGGUCGGUGCUGCUCAACCAGUCUGUGACUAAGGUCGGUGCUGCUCAACCAGUCUGUGACUAAGGUCGGUGCUGCUCAACCAGUCUGUGACUAAGGUCGGUGCUGCUCAACCAGUCUGUGACUAAGGUCGGUGCUGCUCAACCAGUCUGUGACUAAGGUCGGUGCUGCUCAACCAGUCUGUGACUAAGGUCGGUGCUGCUCAACCAGUCUGUGACUAAGGUCGGUGCUGCUCAACCAGUCUGUGACUAAGGUCGGUGCUGCUCAACCAGUCUGUGACUAAGGUCGGUGCUGCUCAACCAGUCUGUGACUAAGGUCGGUGCUGCUCAACCAGUCUGUGACUAAGGUCGGUGCUGCUCAACCAGUCUGUGACUAAGGUCGGUGCUGCUCAACCAGUCUGUGACUAAGGUCGGUGCUACUCAACCAGUCUGUGACUAAGGUCGGUGCUGCUCAACCAGUCUGUGACUAAGGUCGGUGCUGCUCAACCAGUCUGUGACUAAGGUCGGUGCUGCUCAACCAGUCUGUGACUAAGGUCGGUGCUGCUCAACCAGUCUGUGACUAAGGUCGGUGCUGCUCAACCAGUCUGUGACUAAGGUCGGUGCUGCUCAACCAGUCUGUGACUAAGGUCGGUGCUGCUCAACCAGUCUGUGACUAAGGUCGGUGCUGCUCAACCAGUCUGUGACUAAGGUUGGUGCUGCUCAACCAGUCUGUGACUAAGUUCGGUGCUGCUCAACCAGUCUGUGACUAAGGUCGGUGCUACUCAACCAGUCUG